rnacentral:tRNA from 1 species
AUCUAAAUAGUUUAUGGUAAAAUUUUGGUUUGUGGGACUAAAGAGAUAGUUUUUAUUUUAGAUA